GAGGUUGAUGACUCUGGCUGGUGUAUAUGGAUUCUGGAAAUAUGUCUCCAAUCUCGAUAGGCGCGAGACCAAACGUUACCUCGAGAUGUUCUAUGCCCUCAAAUAUCGUAACUUGGCGCAAUCCGUACCCUUGGCUGUUGAUGGAGAGGUCAUUGCCAAUGGAACUAAAUAGUUUCCGCAGCGGAUGGAAGGUUGAGUUUAUGAUACAAAUAAGGAUCUCAGAUGGAAGUGCGUCUUCCUUCUUUUCUUGUUGGUCCAUUUGACGUUUGAGCCAACUUUGUAGCAAACAGAGUGAACUAGUUCAUGUCUUUCAAUGUAUUGGGAUGCAUAAGGCUUAAAUUUUGAGUAUUCCGCAAUAACAAUGCUGUAUUUUCUUUCUAAUAUCCGAAGCAUAUA
rnacentral:misc_RNA from 1 species